rnacentral:rRNA from 1 species
UGAAGUAGUUUUGUAUUAGUACAGAUAAUGAAGAAUUCCAGAGGUGAGAGUUUCCAUCUUUUAAAAGGAUAUAUACCUUUUGUAUCAGGGCUGAACUAUUAAACACUUUGUUAAGGUUGCUCGAGACAGGAAGAUCUAAGUUUUAUCACUGUUAGAGCUUGAUCCCUCUGUAGCAUAAUAGGGGUAAGAAUAAAACUUAGGGGUGAAAAGCCUCCAAUUCCUGAGAUAUCUGGAUGGAAGGUAAACGUAUAUAGUACGAAAGACAGGCUAAAGGUGUUGAGAUCUUUAGCAAGGAGAGACAUUAGACUGAGAAAGAUAUGUCGGGUUAAUUCCCCUUCUUUACUUGACCCACUCAUCAUUUAUCUUAUCCUGUAUCCUCUCUUUUACCUAACCUACUCUUUUAAACUCCAAUAGAGUGUAGAUAAUGUUCAGAUGAGUAAUAACAUAAAACCCCCAGAAGGAACUCGGCAAAUCUGACUCUCAGCUGUUUAUCAAAAACAUAACCUUGAGAAACAUUCAAGGCAAGCCCUGCCCAGUGAUUAAUUUAAACGGCCGCAGUACCCUGACUGUGCUAAGGUAGCGUAAUCAGUUGUCUUUUAAUUGGGGACUAGUAUGAAUGGGUUCAUGGGGGCCUACUGUCUCCUGAGGGGUUUUGUGAAGUUGAAAAAAGGGUGAAAACUCCCUUAAAAAGAUAAAAGACGAGAAGACCCUAAGAACCUCAGACACUACGAUUAGUCGUCGCAAGCUUUUGUUGGGGCGACAUCGGAGCACUAUCUUUUAAACCUCCGAAAAUAAGAGCAAACCAAACGAUAAUCAUAAGAGAGAUUAGGUUACCUUAGGGAUAACAGCAUAAUUAUUAAUAGUUUGUGACCUCGAUGUUGGACUAGGGACCUUCAGGACUAGAAGACCCAAAGGCAAGUUCUGUUCGAACUAACAAAUCCCUACAUGAUCUGAGUUCAGACCGGCGUAAGCCAGGUCAGUUUCUAUCUUUAGUAAAGUAUGCAUUAGUACGAAAGGACCCUGCUUACGGAAAUUAUUCUA